rnacentral:rRNA from 1 species
UAGGGAAUCUUCGGCAAUGGACGAAAGUCUGACCGAGCAACGCCGCUUGAGUGAAGAAGGUUUUCGGAUCGUAAAACUCUGUUGUUAGAGAAGAACAAGGACGUUAGUAACUGAACGUCCCCUGACGGUAUCUAACCAGAAAGCCACGGCUAACUACGUGCCAGCAGCCGCGGUAAUACGUAGGUGGCAAGCGUUGUCCGGAUUUAUUGGGCGUAAAGCGAGCGCAGGCGGUUUCUUAAGUCUGAUGUGAAAGCCCCCGGCUCAACCGGGGAGGGUAAUUGGAAACUGGGAGACUUGAGUGCAGAAGAGGAGAGUGGAAUUCCAUGUGUAGCGGUGAAAUGCGUAGAUAUAUGGAGGAACACCAGUGGCGAAGGCGGCUCUCUGGUCUGUAACUGACGCUGAGGCUCGAAAGCGUGGGGAGCAAACAGG